GUCUCCCCCUUUGCCCAGGGUACUUACCAUUAAAUUAGCUACACUCCAUGGUAAUCAUGCUUGCCCCUCUAUUCAUACAGGGAGCUUCACCUGAGGAUCAGUCCCUGGCUUGCCAUGGCGGCUUUACACAACACCAAAGCACAACUGGAGGCUUUAGAUGCAGGGACUAAGGGUUUGCAGGCGUGGGUUUUGAACCAAAUUGGGGCAGCCACUGACGCUCUACCAGAUUCUGAGGUGGCUUGCCUUGCUUCUGUCUCUUGGUUCCAUAGAACUGGCGGGAUGCCAGGCCACUGGCCCGAAGCUCCUUAGUGGAACCUGACCGGACCUGCAUUUGGCUCUGGCUACUGAGGGGAGUGAUUUCUGAGCAUGAGGAUUCUGGGGAACUUCAUCUACUGGCUGAGCACAAACUCAGAACAGCAGGGGCCAGAGGAGUUCUGCUGUCACCCGUGCUUGGGCUUGAGGACCCCAAUCAACCUGUGGUUAGGAGUGACAGGAGGAAAGCAGGGCCAGGACUGCCUACUUAUAUGACAGCCAGUUCUGGAACAUGAAAGACGGCAGGCACUGGUGGCUGCAUCUCUGAUCAGUCAUAUAUAAUGAUAUUCUCACUUUGGGUAACCAUAAUACCUCUAAGUUUUCUAUGAGAAACAACAGUAAUAAUAACUCUGCUUGCUUGGCAAAUGGAAGAGGAUAGGUAUACAGUAUUUUUCUAUUUGGAGUUUGUAGUGUAAACACCACCAUCUUUAUUUCUGUCACCUAACUUUUACUUUAAUAACACUGUUCCCUUAGAGAUGCCCCAUAAACCACCCCCUCAUUCCUGAACCAGUCUUUGAAUUCCCAACACAGAACACUGAGACCCCAGGUUGAGAGGGGUAUUUUAUGAUCAGUUUGAAAAUGUUGGUGCAGCUAUAAAUUAAGAAGUCAAAUUGCUCCCAUAUUGGGUAUUGAUAUACUGCGCACGGUGGAGAAAUUUCUCUGCGACAUUGCAUGCUGCUAGUGGGGGUCUUCAUGCCUGUGAACACUGUGUCUAGGGCCUAAGAGAGCUUUGGCCUUUGAGCUUAGGGAGGAUGAGAUUUUUCUGGUCAGUGAGCCUCUUGAUGCUUCCUGGAUGCCCCUGGGUGGGAAGAGGUGCUGGUGUUUUUCUGGCUGCAUUGCACUAGCCACUCUGUUCAGUACAGUGAGUGCCUGGGCCUGUGUGGUUCUGAAGCCAAAGCCCAUUCCAGUCCUUGGCCCACUUCCAAGUUGCUCAGUCACUUUCCUGGUUGGCCUCGGAUAAGCACUAAGCCCCUCUUUUCCUGAGCCUCCAACUUUCCAUCAAGUUAUUUCCAGUUUAGAAUAAUUUGAACAUGUCCAAAGGCAGGGAGGGAGCUGCCUUCCUAAAGAAGCAAGAGGGUGAAUCCUUUUGGAAAAUGAUUUAUUCUUUCCAGGCACUCACAACUAGCCAGCAGCUAAGUGGGGCUCUAACAUCGAAGGGUGGUUUGUAAGCCAGGCCGGAUUUCUCUGCACUAAGUUAGCAGUCUGGUUGUGCACACAAUUAAUCAGACUUUGAGUAAACCACACUGCAUGGUAUAGAAGGGCCCAGGUGGUAUCUCCCUUUGUCCCUUGUCUCCUAAGGCAGCUUCACACUUAAUAAUGAAUUGAGGAACUCUGUGAAAAGCUUUUAAAGGCAUCUCUAAGAAGCCCAUGUAAGUUGCUUUAUUGUUAACAGGUGGGAUGUUCUCAAAGAAAGUGAAUCUAGUCAGUCCAUUUAUCCAAGAAAAAACAAAAUGAAUACCCAAUACACAAUGCCCAAAGCACACUACCAAAUAAACAAAAGAGUUACAGAGCAGCUAUUUAGUUUCUUAAAGACAGUUGGUGGCAGGGAUUUACAUAUAAUCUGAACCUAUGCUUACAGGAACCUGUUGCCAGUUGAGAAUCUGCAAUGGACCCAUCUCGGGCACAAUGCACGGCCCCAUGACCUGAAGUCUCAGUGCUGCAUAGGUAAUGUACCAUUGCUUGGUACAUGCUGUCACAUGCACUUUCUUGGUCAAUGCUCACGAACACUGUGGAUUCUUACUAACCACUUAUCUAUAUCCCCUUCAGUCUUCUCAUUCUACAGAUGGGAAAACUGACCCCCAAAGCCACAGUACACAGUGGAGGGAACUGGGGAAAUCUCACCUGCCAGGCUCCCAAGCACCUCCCUUAGCAGUUGGGGUCAUUUCUUUCCCAUCUACCAGUGUCUAAAGACAUACUCCUCCAAAACAGAGAGAGGAGAGUGUGUGUUGCAGGGAGACCUAUCUGGAUCCUCCUGGAAGGGCUGGCAGCUGCCUUGUAUGUAGACGCUCAAGUGCCCAGGUCAGCUCCCUGAACACAGAGUGGAGAUAGAUUUGAUUUUGCUGUUGGCUACCCAGGGACCUCUACAGCUGCAUGGCUUCCCUGCCACUGCUUGGUGGACAUAAGCUGAGCCUUCACAAUCUGGCUGGGGCCUUGAUGAGGCUGAAUUAGAAACUGAAACACCAGCAGGUUCGUUCCUCUUCCAGAAGGUACCAAAUGGUCCUUAGAGCCCCUCCGUGGGAGGCCUUCCUGGCCCCUCAAGGCUCUGUCCUCAGCUCUUGAUGCCACAUGCCUCUCCUGUAGAUUGAGCACCUGCUCUGUCAGGAAACCACCUCUGUUCCUGAGAAGGGAGUUCUACGAGAUUCCAGCUGUGACACCACUGUGACAGGAACUACAGUAUAUUAUUACACCUUGUUAUGUUGCCACCACAUUUGAAUUGACAUCUAUUGAUGUAAGCACAAGGGCUGAUGCUAAUUUCCCACUCUAAACCUCAUUUAAUGCCCCCAUCCCAAGUGACUUCUGGAUUGGAGGGACACUACUAUCCCUCAUCUUACAGACAGGAUGCUGUCUACAGGCACAGGCAGGUCAGGAACUGGACCCAGCAGGCAGAGGCAUUGAGGAAGGGGACUGAGAUUUGAGCUCAGGAUGCUGACGUGGCCAUGCUGGGGCCUAAACCUAUGAAGACGUCUGUGGUGCUGAGCAUAGACUAGUUAAGCACAAGACCAGAGAGAAACAUGCUCCAGGCAGGGCUGGUCCUGUGGGGAGCACAGCAAAUAGGGGUGCACUUAGGGCUCCACAACCCAGCAAGCCAUUCCUACCCAUGGGUGCUGUGAGGGUGAGUGUAGGCCGUGGGUCAAAUGUCCUCUGUGUUACUAAAUAGGGAUUAAUGUCACUCUAGACACAAGUGAGGCAGGAAGGCUCACUUCAGCCCUGGAUACAAGGACCCGAGGGAGAGCCCAGAGCCCCCAGGGACCCUGACAUGCCUGCCUCCCUGUGAGAGCCACUGUCUCGUGCUACAGCCCGGCCACAGUGUGCCAUUCCAAAUGGGCUGGCUAAUCGGCGCGCAUCCAUUAUCAUUAGCGCCUCUCUGCACCCAGGUACAAGAGGGGCUGCCAGGCGCUGGCUGCGGCUCGCUGAGCCUGGGGCCACGCUCCACUGCAAAUGAGGACGAGGAACACCUGCUCCAGGGCUUCCAGGCCGCCACAGUCAUCCUUCACAUCUCAUGCAACACUUGUUCUGUCAGAGCGCGGAGCUGGCACGGCGGGGGCAGCUCUCUGCCAGGCUCUGCCGCGCCCCCUCCCAGCCCUGCGCUCCUCUGCGCGAGAUCAGCUUUGAAUGGCUUUUCAAAGAAGUCUUUUAAAAAUGUAUCCAUUUCAUAUUAGCCAUUCAGUCAUUAUGUGAAGGGUUUAAAAAUAAA